CAGUGAGGAACUACAAGACACCCUUAUUGCCUAUCUGAAGGCAGUGCUGAACCGAACACCAACCAAACUAAGGUUCACAGAUGAAGUGCAGUUCAUCCUUGGUGUUCUAUUUCCAGAGGCCAUCAUAUACGGCCUGAGUAUUCUGAAUAAUCUGUCGCUGCAGGAUGCAGAAAAGGUCUUCAUAUCUGGACCAGUUUAUCAUCAGAGUGAAGUGGAGGAGUUUGAUAGGGGGAUAUCGAAACAAUUGCGCACAGAAGGGAGACCAUUCAACUAGUAAGUAGUGCUGUUACCGACUUCACAGUCUGGGCUUUGAAUAUUGAAGGGUCAGGAAAAGUCAAAUAUCCAUAAUGUUUUUUUAUAUUUGUUUUUCUUGCUUCUGUCUCUCAUUGAAGGAUGAAGUUGU